GAGAAAGUAGUUAAGUAUAACAUUGGUUUGUCAGACCAAAGUCAGCAGUAUUGCUUUUUUUCA
rnacentral:tRNA from 1 species